UACGUAGGGGGCAAGCGUUGUCCGGAAUGAUUGGGCGUAAAGGGCGCGUAGGCGGCCAACUAAGUCUGACGUGAAAGUCCUGCUUUUAAGGUGGGAAUUGCUUUGGAAACUGGAUGGCUUGAGUGCAGGAGAGGUUAGUGGAAUUCCCGGUGUAGCGGUGAAAUGCGUAGAGAUCGGGAGGAACACCAGUGGCGAAGGCGACUAACUGGACUGUAACUGACGCUGAGGCGCGAAAGUGUGGGGAGCAAACAGG
rnacentral:rRNA from 1 species